UAAAUAUAAAAAACCAAAGAGGAGUUAAAUUUAUUCCUCUCAUCACCCCAACAAAACACCCAAUCAACUUAAAAUAGAUAAACAAACACAACAAAAAAGAUAACUAGGUGUCAAACUCUAUAGGGUCUUCUCGUCCCAUAAAAACAUCUAAGAAUUUUAACUUAAAAACUAAAUUCAAUAAACAAUACCUUUAAGACAGCUUAUGUCUCGUCAAGCCAUUCAUACCAGAUCACAAUUAAAGAACUAAUGAUUAUGCUACCUUUGCACGGUCAAAAUACCGCGGCCCUUCAACCUUAUAUAAGUCAGUGGGCAGGCCAUACUUCAAAAACUAACAAGAAAAGAUGUUUUUGUUAAACAGGCGGACAUAAAAUUUUGCCGAAUUCCUCAAAAGAAAUUAUACACCUCUCAUAUAAAACAAUACAAAACCCAAAUUUACUAAUUACACAAUAAUUACUAUUCAAACAAAAAUACAAAAAACAUUUCAAUAAAAACUUAAAUCACAUAAAAAUUUAAAAAACAAAUAACAAAAUUUUAACAUAAUCAAAUUGAAAAUCACUAUAAAAUCCACAAAACUAAAUCAAAACAAGCAAUUAUAAAAGCAAAAUAAGGAGCUAAUCCCCCUUAAUUUUAGCAUCAAAUAAAAAUAAAUAG
rnacentral:rRNA from 1 species